rnacentral:rRNA from 1 species
GUCGWGCGCCUCCRAGCCAUGGUGGAGGCGCGGCGCACAGCUCAGUAACACGUGGCUAACCUACCCUUGGGASGGAAAUAACCCCGGGAAACUGGGGCUAAUUUCCGAUAGGUGAAGACUCCUGGAAUGGAUCUUCGCCGAAAAGGSGUCUAGACCAUGCUUCUAGGCGCUGCCCAAGGAUGGGGCCGCGGCCGAUCAGGUUGUUGGUGAGGUAACGGCUCACCAAGCCUAUAACCGGUACGGGCCGUGGGAGCGGUAGCCCGGAGAUGGGCACUGAGACAAGGGCCCAGGCCCUACGGGGCGCAGCAGKCGCGAAACCUCCGCAAURCGCGAAAGCGUGACGGGGUCAUCCCGAGUGCCGUCCGCUGAGGAUGGCUUUUCCCCAGUGUARACAGCUGGGGRAAUAAGGAGAGGGCAWGUCKGGUGUCCSCCGCCGCGNUAANA